rnacentral:rRNA from 1 species
GACGAACGCUGGCGGCAUGCCUAAUACAUGCAAGUCGAGCGAACAGAUGAAGUGCUUGCACUUCUGACGUUAGCGGCGAACGGGUGAGUAACACGUAAGGAAUCUACCUAUAAGCGGGGGAUAACAUUCGGAAACGGGUGCUAAUACCGCAUAAUAUCUUCUUCCGCAUGGAAGAAGAUUGAAAGACGGCUCUGCUGUCACUUAUAGAUGACCUUGCGGUGCAUUAGUUAGUUGGUGGGGUAACGGCCUACCAAGACGAUGAUGCAUAGCCGAGCUGGGAGGGGGAUCGGCCACAUUGGGACUGAGACACGGACCAAAAUCCUAUGGGAGGCAGCAGUAGGGAAUCUGCCGCAAUGGGCGAAAGCCUGACGGAGCAAUGCCGCGUGAGUGAAGAAGGCCUUCGGGUCGUAAAACUCUGUUAUAAGAGAAGAACAAAUUGUAGAGUAACUGCUGCAGUCUUGACGGUAUCUUAUCAGAAAGCCACGGCUAACUACGUGCCAGCCGCCGCUGUAA